rnacentral:rRNA from 1 species
UACCAGCACCCCGAGUGGUCGGGACGUUUUAUUGGGCCUAAAGCAUCCGUAGCCGGUUCUACAAGUCUUCCGUUAAAUCCACCUGCUCAACAGAUGGGCUGCGGAAGAUACUAUGGAGCUAGGAGGCGGGAGAGGCAAGCGGUACGUACGAUGGGUAGGGGUAAAAUCCGUUGAUCCAUUGAAGACCACCAGUGGCGAAGGCGGCUUGCCAGAACG